CAGUAGCCGCGGGAAUACGGAGGGUGCGAGCGUUAAUCGGAAUUACUGGGCGUAAAGCGUACGCAGGCGGUUUGUUAAGUCAGAUGUGAAAUCCCCGAGCUUAACUCGGGGACUGCAUUUGAAACUGGCAGGCUAGAGUCUCGUAGAGGGGGGUAGAAUUCCAGGUGUAGCGGUGAAAUGCGCUGAGAUCUGGAGGAAUAACGGUGGCGAAGGCGGCCCCCUGGACGAAGACUGACGCUCAGGUACGAAAGCGUGGGGAGCAAACAGGAUUAGAUACCCCAGUAGUCCCUGUCUCUUAUAC
rnacentral:rRNA from 1 species